GAUGAACGCUAGCUACAGGCUUAACACGUGCAAGUCGAGGGGCAUCAGGAAGAAAGCUUGCUUUCUUUGCUGGCGACCGGCGCACGGGUGAGUAACACGUAUCCAACCUGCCCUUUACUCGGGGAUAGCCUUUCGAAAGAAAGAUUAAUACCCGAUAGCAUAAUGAUUCCGCAUGGUUUCAUUAUUAAAGGAUUCCGGUAAAGGAUGGGGAUGCGUUCCAUUAGGUUGUUGGUGAGGUAACGGCUCACCAAGCCUUCGAUGGAUAGGGGUUCUGAGAGGAAGGUCCCCCACAUUGGAACUGAGACACGGUCCAAACUCCUACGGGAGGCAGCAGUGAGGAAUAUUGGUCAAUGGGCGCUAGCCUGAACCAGCCAAGUAGCGUGAAGGAUGAAGGCUCUAUGGGUCGUAAACUUCUUUUANAUAAGAAUAAAGUGCAGUAUGUAUACUGUUUUGUAUGUAUUAUAUGAAUAAGGAUCGGCUAACUCCGUGCCAGCAGCCG
rnacentral:rRNA from 1 species